GUAAACACAAAGAACUUUGCUACCCUCUUAUCUUGGCAGUCACACUGACCUUGAUGUUAUGUUUUAAAGCCCCAAGUGGAUAGAAUUCAAAAGACAGAACCCUAGCCGGUAAAACUGACGUCAUACAUAGCACCCGGGAAGGAUGAAUUAAACCAAAAAUCCAACCAGCAACUAUUCUGGAAACUUUGGAUCAGUUCCAUAACACACGUUGAAUUCACCAGCUGAGCCAGAGUCCCCAGAUAUGGCUUUGUUAUUGCUAGAACUACCCGGGUAACAAGUAGGAGACGUGACAAGUGCCAGCACAUCACAAAAUGUUCAAAUCGUCAUUCUAUAAAUGAAAACAUUUUCAAAGCAAUUAUUCCCUGCAAACUCAAACAUAAAUAGAUCAGCAUCCUUUACUUUUUAACUCGAGUUAGAUCUACACAUAUACCUUUCGGACAUUUUGAUUUGAAUUACAAAACUGGGUGCAUAAUUCCUGAAAUCUUUCAGAUAGACAAUAGACAUCAAUAGACAAUAGGUGCAGGAGUAGGCCAUUCGGCCCUUCGAGCCAGCACCGCCCCAUUCACUGCGAUCAUGACUGAUCAUCCACAAUCAGUACCCCGUUCCUAUCUUCUCCCCAUAUCCCUUGACUCCACUAUCUUUAAGAGCUCUAUCUAACUCUCUCUUGAAAGCAUCCGGAGAAUUGACCUCCACUGCCUUCUGAGCCAGAGAAUUCCACAGACUCACAACUCUCUGGGUGAAAAAGUUUUUCCUCGUCUCUGUUCUAAAUGACCAACCCCCAAUUCUUAAACUGUGGCCCCUGGUUCUGGACUCCCCCAACAUCGGGAACAUAUUUCCUGCCUCCAGUGUGUCCAAUCCCUUAAUAAUCUUAUAUGUUUCUAUACGAUCCCCUGUCAUCCUUCUACAUUCCAGUGUGUACAAGCCCAGUCGUUCCAUUUUUUCAACAUAUGACAGUCCCGCCAUCCUGGGAAUUAACCUUGUGAAACUACGCUGCACUCCCUCAAUAGCAAGAAUGUCCUUCCUCAAAUUUGGAGACUAAAACUGCACACAAUACUCCAGAUAUGGUCUCACUGGGGCCCUGUACAACUGCAGAAGGACCUCUUUGCUCCUAUACUCAACUCCUCGUGUUAUGAAGGCCAAAAUGCCAUUAGCUUUCUUCACUGCCUGCUGUACCUGCAUGCUUACUUUCAUUGACUGAUGAACAAGGACACCCAGAUCUCAUUGUACUUCUCUUUUCCUAACUUGACACCAUUCAGAUAAUAAUCUGCCUUCCUGUUCUUGCCACCAAAGUGGAUAACCUCACAUUUAUCCACAUUAAACUGCAUCUGCCAUGCAUCUGCCCACUCCCUCAACCUGUCCAAGUCACCCUGCAUUCUCAUAGCAUCCUCCUCACAGUUCACACUGCCACCCAGCUUUGUCAGUACAACAGGGGCAAAACUGGUUUCAUGUUAACUGCUUAAGUAAAAUAUUGAACAGUGUAGUUAAAGGCCACAAUUUAUUGCCACAGUGUCAUCACUAAAUAACAUUAUGCAGUGAUGUGUGGUGUUUACAUAGUGCAUGAAUAGAUGGUAUUCUCUAAACCUCUCAUUCAAAACAGCGCCAGCAUUUCAAUUCAAUGUGCAGUGCGUCACACAGAACAACCAACUAGGGUUACUUUUGCACCUAAACACACACUUGUGUGAAAGGAACUCCAGAUUACACCAGUUAGACACAAGAUGCUGGAGUCGCUCAGCGGGCCAGGCAGCAUCUCUAGAGAAAGGGAAUAGGCAACGUUUCAGGUCGAGACGCUUCACCAGUCUGAUGCCGUAAUCGGGAGAGCGGAAUCAACGGCAAAGGGACAAAACGAACAGCAGUCCAUCCAGAUGUUGCCUGACCUGCUGCGUGUUUCAAAGUGUUUCCAUUUGUUUGAACAGUCCAGGCUGCUGAUUCGAGCACACUUCUGUCAGUCGCGGACUCCCAACGCCCAAUCCGCUCAAACUGAUCGUCCCCUUGUGAAUCUUCCGACUCAAUGCAACGUGGACGCGGCCAGCCGAGCCAAACACACUUCUGUGUGGAAUGUGCGUCCGAGGCGAGCCGGAGUUUGAAACUUUAAGCACUGAUCUUGGGGCAGCAACAACUUACUUUACCAGCCGUCCUGGUUACUGCCAAAGGAUUUGCAAAGAUUGCACUGCCUGUGACCAGUCCUGAAGCCAUACAUCACAUGAAAUACACUUAUUUAUUCAUGCAUUCAGAUCUUUGGUCAAAAAAAAAAAAGAAUCGGAGAAGGGAGUUAAGAUUUAAGGAACUCUCCUGCGCACGGUUGGAGCUUUGCAAAUUCUUCUCUGUGCCUUCCCCCUCCCAAACAGAUAUUUUUGGCUGAUCCAAGACAUGUCAUUGCGGGGCGUGGGCUGCAGUCAGAAACCGCAGAAGGCAAUGGAACAACAUUGCAGUUUCCUCCCGGGCUGGCUGCUCUGAGGAGGGGGGAGGUGACUUCGCUUAUAGCGAAACAUGAACCGGGCUAUUUCUCUGCGUACAGCGCCACGCCGUGGGCUCAGCGCUGGCCGAGCGAGUGAACAGGAAUACUGCAAAAUAACUGGGCGGCGAGGACAAGCGAACUAGCUCUGACAGUCAUAUCAUAGCGAGAUUAGUAUAGAAGUAUAGAGUAUUGAGUAUAGAAGCUGGGAUGUAAUGUUAAAAUUGUACAAGGCAUUGGUGAGACCAAAUCUGUAGUAUGGUGUACAAUUUUGGUCGCCCAAUUAUAGGAAGGAUGUCAACAAAAUAGAGAGAGUACAGAGGAGAUUUACUAGAAUGUUGCCUGGGUUUCAACAACUAAGUUACAGAGAUAGGUUGAAUAAGUUAGGCCUUUAUUCUCUGGAGCGCAGAAGGUUAAGGGGGGACUUGAUAGAGGUCUUUAAAAUGAUGAGAGGGAUAGACAGAGUUGAUGUGGACAAGCUUUUCCCUUUGAGAAUAGGGAAGAUUCAAACAAGAGGACAUGACUUCAGAAUUAAGGGACAGAAGUUUAGGGGUAAUAUGAGGGGGAACUUCUUUACUCAGAGAGUGGUAGCGGUGUGGAUUGAGCUUCCAGUGGAAGUGGUGGAGGCAGGUUCAUUGGUAUCAUUUAAAAAUAAAUUGGAUAGGCAUAUGGAUGAGAAGGGAAUGGAGGGUUAUGGUAUGAGUGCAGGCAGGUGGGACUAAGGGGAAAAAUAUUUUGUUCGGCACGGACUUGUAGGGACGAGAUGGCCUGUUUCCGUGCUGUAAUUGUUUGUUAUAGAUUCACAAACUAUCAUUGAUGAUCUUCGGUAGCUUAUGUUAAGAAAAUGGGAGUUAAACUCUUUAAAAAAAAACCCUACCAAUGCUAAUUAUUUUCAGGAUUGUCAACGUUAAAAAAGACGUUGACAUGG